AAGUGACACUUCUUUGAAAAAAGAAAAGAAAAAAAACAAUGAAUAUUGUUGCAGAGGCCUACUUUCAUCGCCCUUCUUGAAAUUACUCACGCGCAAUAUCCUUGUUAGCGGAUAAUCCUAUAAUAAAACGCAGCCUACAGAGACGUCGAGAAGACUUCGAAUUCUUCUUGCGAAAGAAAUUGCAACAACGUUUAACGUUCCUAUAAAAACAGGCGAGCGUUUGCAAAUAUUUAUCGACUUACGAUACCCCAUCCAAGCGACCAACUAUGGAUUAAAUAUGUAUUCUUUUUAGAGUAAGAAAGCCCCGUGGCAUUGGAAAUCGAAGGAACAUUUAAAUCGACGGAAGGAGAGAGAAUAAGUCGGAUAAUUCCAAGAUUCAAGGUCUCGCAAGUCGAGCUACGUUUACGACGAUCCUCGGCUACGAGGAUCUCAACGAAGAGACGAUUCUGGGCCCAGAGUUUCCCUUGAAACUCCCUCGUUAUUAUCUGCCGCUGCGGGCCACUACUCUAAACUCUAAAGAGAGACACUUUAGAGCGCAAGGCAGAGCAGAGUCUACUCAAGGUCACAGCGCUCGGAUUGGCCCACGAUAAAGCGGGGCUCUCCGUAUCCGUCCCUCGGCUGCCUGGCCUUAUGCUCCGUCCGCACACACAUUCUGCCGCACCGUGGCCCACAUGUCACUUCGCGACAAUGUUGUACAGCAGCCGCAUCGAGAACACGUGGUUGUUCCGAGAGGCUCGACAACUGGCUACUGAUAACAGAAACCGAGCCACGCUGGUUCUACAGCUGAAUUUGAGGUUAGGUGAUUGUCCGGGUGUGCAGUGAGCAUCGAUAACGGAGCGCUGCAACCUCGCCUGUCCGUGGCAAUACGAUCUGGCAACCCUGGAGCGGCCGGCAGUGCCGGGGUUGAAUUUCAAGCGCCCGAGGGACAGAGGGGGUCAGGCCUCUCUCUUUUGUAUAGGGGGCACGAGGGCUUCACCGAUGCUCGGCACAUAACGGUGAGUCGACGGCCAUGAUGCGGGGUUUAUGGCCGGCUGCACGGUUCUGUUCCCUGCUGAAACGCGCUUCAGAAGAAAACCAGCCUUUCUCUUCGUCUCUUCCUCCUCUUCGUCUGUCCCCUCCCCCCUCUCGUUCCCCAUAACAUUGCUGGCAAUUCGCUUCAGGCCUACGGGGUUCAGUCCCAGUAAGCGCUCGUUUCUCACCACCCAAAUAUUCCCCCGCGUAUUAAUUAUCAGAUUUUCCUCUCCCCGUUUGAAAUUACGUAAACAGCAAAUUCGCGUGCACGACGAGUUCGUGAAACGAUCGUGCUUUAACUCGGUCUU